ensembl:rRNA 5S_rRNA 5S ribosomal RNA
GCCUGUGGCCAUACCACCCUGAACGUGCCAGAUCUCAUCUGAUCUUGGAAGCUAAGUAGGGUUGGGCCUGGUUAGUACUUGAAUGGGAGACUGCCUGGCAAUACCAGGUGCUGUAGGCU